AAAUACAGGGCUGCAAAAUCCCUUUUUGUUAUUUAAGGCUAUAGCCUGUUAUUGUCACAAGGGGGUGCUGUGAUGCAGUCUUGUGUUCUGACGACCUUGCGUCUAGUGCGCAGGAAGUAUUACCUGUCUCUUCCUGUGAGAUCUUCCCUCUGAUGGCGGUCAAGUGCGUGUCGGAGCGCAUGGAAAAAGCAUCUUGGCCCCGAACUCUGACCACAAAGGGAAUAACGUCUGUCAAGUUAUUUGUGUUGGAAAAUCCCGAUUGGUUUUUUGACUACUAGAAGGAUUCUGGAGAACCACUAACGGCGAGAACAGCCCAAAUGAGAUCCUGGAUGAUCGUGAAAUGGUGUGGCCAGCCAUGCGAUCGGAUUGUGGGAUUUGCCUGAGAAACUGAUUCAAGCAACCCUGGAUUUCAGAUAAGCCCUAUGCACCACUUUUCCUACCCGGAUAAUAGGGUCUACACACUGACAAUUCCCCUACAGUACACCUGUUUGGGUUUCAACAACUUUAAAGGACAAUUCAAACUUCACAAGAGGAACACUUUAAUCUGUUUCAUUCAUUCAAAAGAGCUCUGAUACAAUUCAGUAUAAGUCUUCCAUUUAAGUGUCUUUAUUUUAUUUUAUUUUCUGUUUUACAUCUAUUCACCUUUAAAAUGCACUAUUAGUGUGCAAUUUAGUUUAUUGUGUUGUACAUGUUUACAAAUGGUACUGAGGCAAUAAAGGUCCCAGUUAUUCGCUUCCAAGCCAACUCCUUUUGUGAGUCUCCAAAACAAAACCUCCUUCUGAACCUAGUAAGAUGUCUAGGGUCUCUAUUUGAAGUGAAAGUGUACUGGUCCUGAGUAGAGGCGCUACACAUGUUUCACAUAUUAUAGACCAACAAGUUAUUCAUAGCAGUUUAAAUACGGGGAGUCACUUUUGGGCCCAGCAGAUAAAAC